rnacentral:tRNA from 1 species
AACAAAAACAUUACAUUUUCAUUGUAAAAUUAAAACAAUUUUUAGAAAUA